rnacentral:rRNA from 1 species
GAUGAACGCUGGCGGCGUGCCUAAUACAUGCAAGUCGAGCGAACAGACGAGGAGCUUGCUCCUCUGACGUUAGCGGCGGACGGGUGAGUAACACGUGGAUAACCUACCUAUAAGACUGGGAUAACUUCGGGAAACCGGAGCUAAUACCGGAUAAUAUAUUGAACCGCAUGGUUCAAUAGUGAAAGACGGUUUUGCUGUCACUUAUAGAUGGAUCCGCGCCGCAUUAGCUAGUUGGUAAGGUAACGGCUUACCAAGGCAACGAUGCGUAGCCGUCCUGAGAGGGUGACCGGCCACACUGGAACUGAGACACGGUCCAGACUCCUACGGGAGGCAGCAGUAGGGAAUCUUCCGCAAUGGGCGAAAGCCUGACGGAGCAACGCCGCGUGAGUGAUGAAGGUCUUCGGAUCGUAAAACUCUGUUAUUAGGGAAGAACAAAUGUGUAAGUAACUAUGCACGUCUUGACGGUACCUAAUCAGAAAGCCACGGCUAACUACGUG